AGAGUUUGAUCCUGGCUCAGGACGAACGCUGGCGGCGUGCCUAACACAUGCAAGUCGAGCGGAGACAGUGAGUAGCUUGCUAUGAGCUGUUUUAGCGGCGGACGGGUGAGUAACGCGUGAGCAACCUUUCCCAGACAGGGGAAUAACACACCGAAAGGUGUACUAAUACCGCAUAAGACCACGGGAUCACAUGGUUCUGAGGUAAAAGAUUUAUCGGUUUGGGGUGGGCUCGCGUCCGAUUAGGUAGUUGGUGAGGUAACGGCCCACCAAGCCGACGAUCGGUAGCCGACCUGAGAGGGUGAUCGGCCACAUUGGGACUGAGACACGGCCCAAACUCCUACGGGAGGCAGCAGUGGGGAAUAUUGCACAAUGGGGGAAACCCUGAUGCAGCGACGCCGCGUGAGCGAAGAAGUAUUUCGGUAUGUAAAGCUCUAUCAGCAGGGAAGAAAAUGACGGUACCUGACUAAGAAGCCCCGGCUAACUACGUGCCAGCAGCCGCGGUAAUACGUAGGGGGCAAGCGUUGUCCGGAAUAAUUGGGCGUAAAGGGCGCGUAGGCGGCUCGGUAAGUCUGGAGUGAAAGUCCUGCUUUUAAGGUGGGAAUUGCUUUGGAUACUGUCGGGCUUGAGUGCAGGAGAGGUUAGUGGAAUUCCCAGUGUAGCGGUGAAAUGCGUAGAGAUUGGGAGGAACACCAGUGGCGAAGGCGACUAACUGGACUGUAACUGACGCUGAGGCGCGAAAGUGUGGGGAGCAAACAGGAUUAGAUACCCUGGUAGUCCACACU
rnacentral:rRNA from 1 species